rnacentral:lncRNA from 1 species
CUGGAGCUGGCAUGUCAGUUAACUGCUAGUAGUCUGUUGUUAUUUAUGUAUUAUUGUCAUUUUGUUUAUUUUCUUUGGUUACAUCUUCUGACAUCAGACUCGGACUUCUCUUGAACUGAAUUGUAAUGUGCGUAUUGUUAUGCAUUUACUUUUCUUCAUUGGCUAGAGGUAUAGGGGGAGGGUUGAGAUCUCAUAAACAUGUUUAACCCCGCCACAUUUUUGAGCCUGUCCCAAGUCAGGAGCCUCUCAACUUUGUUAGUCUUGUAUUAUUUUUAAUUAAAGUUUCUUGUGUACAAUUUGGAGUUUAGUAUGGCGUUCAUUAUCACUGAACUAGUAUAUCGUCGCUGUUAUGCAAAAACCUCGUAUCUCAAUUUUUUGCGGAAAUCUUUUUAUCGAUUAUUUAGGAUUAAAUAUGUAUGUUCCACUGUAUGCGAAAAUAUCUGAUCUUCUAACCAAUCAUUAAUCCGAAUUCUGACAAUUGUGACGAAAAAGUGUAGUCGGAUUGGUGAGACAUUUUGUUGUGCGAAAAUAUCGUAUCUCAAAAGAAAAACACUUUGCACGGCAGCUGACAUUAUAAUAGGUACAGUUUUAUCAUUUUAGGUUCUCAAAGCUAAUAAAAAUAAUGAAAAGCUUUGAAAAUACAAUAUAGGUGCAGAAAUGUUUGCUCGUCUUGGUAAUUGAUUGGUUAGAAGAUCAGAUAUUUUCGCAUACAGUGGAACAUACAUAAUAUUUAAUUCUAAAUAAUCGAUAAAAAGAUUUCAGUUUUAACUGCCUGUUGUAAAAUUAUCAAAACCUUAGAUACGAGGUUUUUGCAUAACAGCGACGAUAUA